UGCACCGUCGCCGCUGCUACCACCGCUAGAGGGCGUUUACCGCGAGCUUGGACUCAAGACCGUGCGGCGAGUGUGCGUAGGACGCUCAGAAGCCGAAAGCUCUGCAAAAAGUACUGGGCUGCUCAACUUCUCAAAAUGGAGUGGAGCCUUGACUGCAAAGUGUACGUGGGUAACCUGGGUAGCGGGGCAGCCAAGCACGAGAUUGAGGCGGCCUUCACCAAGUUCGGCCCCUUGCGCAAUGUCUGGGUGGCCCGCAACCCUCCAGGCUUUGCCUUUGUCGAGUUUGAGGACUCACGUGACGCUGAAGAUGCCUGCCGUGCUCUGGAUGGCAGUCGUCUUUGUGGAACAAGGGUCAGGGUCGAAAUGUCCCAUGGCCGAUCGCGCCGUGGUGGAGCUAGCAGGCGCCCACCUGUGCCGCCGCCUCGGGCAUGCGACAUCACCUCUAACUCUGCCCCCCGAGGGACUAAAGUGACCCAACCUACCACCACCUUUCUCCUUCGUCAACAACAACAACAACCACCACCACACUUCUAUCUCGCUGCGCGGGAAGGGUUUGCCGCCGACGCGGCUGGCUGAGCCACCAACCCCCCUCACCCCUUGAGAAAGAAAACAUCAGGACGCCGCCCCUGUGCGAGCGAAUCGAGGCAGCAAUGCCAGCGCCAACAGCUUCCCAACCAACGAACACACUCCUUCGCUGGGGGAUGGCAACGCAUUUGGUGGCAGGCGCCUUCUUCCCUUCUCGUGCCCCCCUUCGCUACGCCACCGCUCGCCUAGCUGGCCGGUCGGCGCUCAACGCUCUUCUUUGCCAACUGGCACAGGUCUCGCUCGCCUAGAAGACGUUACUCCCGAAGCCGCAGUCGUAGCCGCUCCCGCAGCUUGCGCAGGUCCACUGGAAGCCGCUCACUCUCUCGGGAGAGGCGCUGAAAGGUAGGGCCUUUCAUUGCAUUUCAGGCCACUGCGCAGAUACCUUCGCAUCGACUUGCCAGCAGAAAACUGCAUCGUGCUUCGAGCGCUGUUCACACACCUCUCAGCUUAAAAAAGCAUUCUCAACUGGCCUUCUUCGCAUCGCAUGUGUGUGUAUUCUUGGCUCCUUUGAGAGCUGCCAGCGGUGUGCAUUGUGCAAGCAUGGCGUCCCAACUGUGCAGGGCUGAGGGUUGGCCACUCUGCCGUGCUGCUGGCAUCCUGCGAUGGACUGUGGGAAGACUGAGGAAGCAGGACAUGCAGUUUCCGACACAUUUCAUGUCUGAUUUCAUACCUUUUUGUUUUCAUACAAGUUUGUUUUCAGAUAAAGAAAAGCUAGAAAAAAAAAUUUCAUAUUUGUCAUGUAGCUAAUGGAAUUGGCAGAGUUCACAAUAAAGGCUUUUCAACUCCCAU